rnacentral:rRNA from 1 species
UACGUAGGGUGCAAGCGUUGUCCGGAAUUAUUGGGCGUAAAGAGCGUGUAGGCGGCCCGAUUAGUCCGCUGUGAAAGUCCAGGGCUCAACCCUGGAAUGCCGGUGGAUACUGUCGGGCUAGAGUCCGGAAGGGGCGAGUGGAAUUCCUGGUGCAGCGGUGAAAUGCGCAGAUAUCAGGAGGAACACCAAUGGCGAAGGCAGCUCGCUGGGACGUGACUGACGCUGAGACGCGAAAGCGUGGGGAGCAAACAGG